UCUAAGGAAUGUGGGAAGUCCUUUAAUCGUGUCUCAAACCGUGUUCAACGUCAGAGUAUGUAUGUUGGUGUAAAACCAGGUGAAUGUAAGGAGUCUGGGAAAGGCUUCAAUCAUGGUUCAAACCUUAUUCAGCAUCAGAAAAUUAAUUCUAGCGAGAAACUCUUUGUAUGUAAGGUGUGGAGGAAGAUCUUUAGAUAUCAUUACCAACUUAUUGAACAUUACCAAAUUCAUACUGGUGGAAAACCCUUUGAAUGUAAAGAAUGUGGAAAAACCUUUAGUUUUCUGACACAGCUUGCUCAACGUUAGGUCAUUCAUACUGAUGAGAAGCCAUUUGAAUCUGAGGAACAUGGGAAGGCCUUUAGUAGUGGCUCAAACUUUGUUCAACAUCAGAGUAUCCAUACUAGUGAGAAACUCUAUGAAUGUAAGGAGUGUGGGAAAACUUUUAGAUUUACUAUUGUCUUCACUGCACCUCAAAGAAUUCAUAACAGUAUGAAAUCCUUUGAAUGUAAGGAAUGUGGGAAGACCUUUAGUUGUAGCUCAAAGCUUGUUCAACUUGUUAAAAUUCAUACCGGUGAGAAACCGUAUAAUGUAAGGAAUGUGAGAAAGCAUAUGCUGUGGAUGAUCAGCUUACUCAACAUUAGAAAAUUCAUAAUAGAAAUUUUAUGAAUAUCAGGAGUGUGGACAAGCCUUCACUGUAUAUGAAAAAUUUACUCAAUGCCAGAGAACUCAUAUGGUUGAGAAAUCCUGUGAACAAAAAAGAAUGUGCGGCGAACUUUCAUCAUGGCCUGGGAUUUGCGUAACAUCAGAGUAUUCAUACUGCUGAGAAAUCCUUUGAGUGUAAGGAAUGUGGGGUGUUUUAUGGCAACUCUAAAUACAGUAGAGUUCAGAGAAGACAAUUCUUAUGAGAAAGUCUUUGAAUGAGGAAUAUAGGGCAGUUGUCACAUUCACAGUAUACUCCAUAUGCAAUGCUUUACCAGAUACAGGCAUACCUCACUUAAUUGUGCACACGGUUAUUGUGUUUUAUGCAAUUUGAAGGUUUGUGGCAACCCCACAGUGAGUAAGAUGAUCAGAGUCAUUUUCCAAACAUCAUGUGUCCAUUUUGUGUCUUUAUGUCACGUUUUGAUAAUUCUCAGAAUAUUUCAAAGUUUUUCAUUGUUAUAUGUCCAUCAUGGUGACCAAUGACCAGUGAUUUUGUAUGUUACUGUUGUAAUUGCUUUGGGAUACCACAAACAUUGCCCAUAAAAGAUGGUGAACCUAGUUGAUACUUGUUGUGGGUUUUGAAAAAAUAGUCAAAUAUACAAUCAUAUACCCCCACCUAGAUACAAAAUUGUUAACAAUUUGCCAUGUUUAUUUUUUGUAUAUUUGUUGUGCCAUAGAGAAUAAGUUUUACACUUCACGACACUUUACCCCUUAUUUAAUCAGCAUGGGUAUCACCCAAACAUAAAGACAAUAUCAUAUAGCCAUAGUAUCAUAAUUACCCUUAAGGAAAUUAUUCAUAAUUCUGUAAAAACAUUCCAUUUUCAGAUUUCUUCAUUGGCCCCCAAACCAUCUUUUAUGGCUAUUCAUACUUAAAGGAGAAUCCAUUGCAGAUUCUGAAUUGUACUUGGCUCUCUCUCUUCAGUAUAUUGUAGCCUGGAAACCCUAUAAAUGUAAGAUCUCAUAUUUUGGUAGGUAUUAGAAUUACCUGUGGAACUUAGUAAAACUGCAGAGGCUUAAGCCCUAGCUUAUAAGCCUGGGCCUCUGUGUUUUAUUUUAUUUCUCCAGGUGAUUGUGAUACCAACCAGAGUUAGAGAGCCACUGGUCUAGAACAUUUCUCCUCAUUCUUAAAAAAUGACAUUAAAUUUUGUCUAGCCCAGGAAAGUUGUCUGCUGUGUGUUUAGAUUUCUUUCUUUAUAGUGUCAUUUAGCCUUGUUCUCUUUGUUGUAUAUUCUGUACAAGGGAGUUUGAGUCCAGAGGCUCUGUUAGGUCUAGAUUAAACAUUUUGGGGAAGAAUGCUUUGUAGGUUAUUUGUAUGUCAUGUUUUAUUGUCAGAAAACAUUUAAGUACAGGUCCUUGAAUUAGUGAAACUAAGUUUGAUCAUUUGGGUAAGCUGGUAGCUACAAUGUUAAGUAAUCUGUAGAGAGACUUUGUCACCCCUGAAAAAUUAUAGUCAUGUGUAUUUUAUCCCUGGAUUGAAUACAAAAUGAAAAUAGAAAUAGACUAUUCAGAAAUGAAUGCCAUGAAGGUAUCAACAUAAUUCAACUUGUGUGAUAUGGCUGACACUGUACUCAGUACAAAAUUAGCACCCUCUAGUUUAUGCAGGGAGCCAAGGUUGUUUUGUCUGGAACCCUGUUUUUGUUCAGCAUUUAUCACCAGCAUCUAUACCAUGUCUGGUACAUGAGCUGUUGAUAAACUUUGAAAAAAAUUAAGCACUUAAAUCAAGCUAUAAAAUGUGAUACCAUUGUGGGAUCAUGAAUUAUAUUAAUUUUUUAAAAGAUCAAUAGUAAUCCUUUAUGAUUUUAUUCCAGUAUAUUUAAAAAUCUAUAAAGUGAUAAUUUAUAUUGAUAGCUUUCUUCUUUUUGUGAAUAUACCCUUAUCAGAUUAUUAUUGUUUUGAUAGACAAUUCUAUUUCUUAACAUUUAAUUGCACCUAUAAUCAUUAAAGUUAUAAUUUUCUAAAUAAUUUUUCAGGUUUUGUUAUUGCAAUGAUUUUAUAAAUCUUAUAAAACACAGUUAUAUAAAACUUGGCUUUCUAAUCUCAUGUUCCUAUUUUUUAUUUCCAGUUUCAUCUUUUUUGUAUUGAUUCUCUUUGACUUUUUUUUUUUUUUUUAACUCAACAGAUUCCCUGGGUAUUAACCCAGCACAACUCGUUUAUGGGUCAUUGCACAUCCUGGUAGUAUCAUUAAGGAUUUUCAUGAAAGAUCCCUGGAGACCUUGCAAUGAAACUCUUAUUAUCAUGCAAUCUUGGCAUUUCUAAGUUGGAAGUCAGAGUCCUUUUGCAAACAUAAUAAAACACUUCAAAGUAUUUGCUAAAGUUACAAACCAAGUAUGUACAAAUUUAAAAACCACCUUAUACUUUUAAAAGCAGAAAAGGCAUCCAAGGAAUAUUUCCUUGCUUACAAGCUCAGUGAAUGUGCGGAAUUCACUUACAAAAAGAAUUUUCUCAAAUUUAGUUGCCUUUCAAAAAAAUUCUUAUUUCUUUUAUUUGUAAUUCUUUGACACUGUUGCUGCUUCAAGGUUUUGGUAAUUGGACAAUAUGGUCUUUAUUAUGCUAUUAACAUUUUUACUUGUCCUGAAAGAAGGGAAUACAAUCAAAGAAACAGAAGGUUGCCGUAACUCGAACCACAUUAUGAUAUCAGGAUGACCCAGAGCCAUGGUUACUAAGCUGUUUAAAUUUUUAGUAACAGAGGUGUAUUAGAAAGUGAUAGGUCAAUUAAAUAAUUUUUUUAAUAAAUUUAAUGAUAGAAUCCCCUUAAAUUAUGCUUAGUCAGCAGUAUUUAAUCUGUUGUCUAUUAUACACCUAACUGGUCUGUUACCUUUCUUAUAUAUUUAUGUAUUGCUUAUAAAUAUCUUAUUAGAGUAACUCAUUUUUAAAACAAUAUAUUUCAUCUCCUAGGA